rnacentral:rRNA from 1 species
GACGAACGCUGGCGGCGUGCUUAACACAUGCAAGUCGAGCGGAAAGGCCCUUUUGGGGGUACUCGAGCGGCGAACGGGUGAGUAACACGUGAGUAAUCUGCCCGAUGGAGGGGGAUAACUACUGGAAACGGUAGCUAAUACCGCAUAACGUCGCAAGACCAAGGUGGGGGACCUUCGGGCCUCACACCAUCGGAUGUGCCCAGAUGGGAUUAGCUAGUAGGUGGGGUAAUGGCUCACCUAGGCGACGAUCCCUAGCUGGUCUGAGAGGAUGACCAGCCACACUGGAAAUGAGACACGGUCCAGACUCCUACGGGAGGCAGCAGUGGGGAAUAUUGCACAAUGGGCGCAAGCCUGAUACAGCCAUGCCGCGUGUAUGAAGAAGGCCUUCGGGUUGUAAAGUACUUUCAGCGGGGAGGAAGGCGGUGAAGUUAAUAGCUUCACCGAUUGACGUUACCCGCAGAAGAAGCACCGGCUAACUCCGUGCCAGCCGCCGCAGUAA